AUUGAACGCUGGCGGCAGGCUUAACACAUGCAAGUCGAGCGGAGAUGAGGUGCUUGCACCUUAUCUUAGCGGCGGACGGGUGAGUAAUGCUUAGGAAUCUGCCUAUUAGUGGGGGACAACAUUCCGAAAGGAAUGCUAAUACCGCAUACGCCCUACGGGGGAAAGCAGGGGAUCUUCGGACCUUGCGCUAAUAGAUGAGCCUACGUCGGAUUAGCUAGUUGGUGGGGUAGAGGCCUACCAAGGCGACGAUCUGUAGCGGGUCUGAGAGGAUGAUCCGCCACACUGGGACUGAGACACGGCCCAGACUCCUACGGGAGGCAGCAGUGGGGAAUAUUGGACAAUGGGCGGAAGCCUGAUCCAGCCAUGCCGCGUGUGUGAAGAAGGCCUUUUGGUUGUAAAGCACUUUAAGCGAGGAGGAGGCUACCUGGAUUAAUACUCUAGGAUAGUGGACGUUACUCGCAGAAUAAGCACCGGCUAACUCUGUGCCAGCCGCCGCGGUAAUAC
rnacentral:rRNA from 1 species